CCCGAUGAUUUGAACGAGAGUGAUCUGAUGGGUGAUGACCGACUUCUCGCUGAGG
rnacentral:snoRNA from 1 species